UACGGAGGGUGCGAGCGUUAAUCGGAAUAACUGGGCGUAAAGGGCACGCAGGCGGGCUUUUAAGUGAGGGGUGAAAUCCCCGGGCUUAACCUGGGAAUUGCAUUUCAGACUGGGAGUCUAGAGUACUUUAGAGGUGGGUAGAAUUCCGCGUGUAGCGGUGAAAUUCGUAGAGAUGCGGAGGAAUACCGGAGGCGAAGGCGGCCCCUUGGCAAUGUACUGACGCUCAUGUGCGAAAGCGUGGGGAGCAAACAGG
rnacentral:rRNA from 1 species